GAUGAAGAACGUAGCGAAAUGCGAUAAGUAAUGUGAAUUGCAGAAUUCAGUGAAUCAUCGAAUCUUUGAACGCACAUUGCGCCCGUCAGUAUUCUGGCGGGCAUGCCUGUUCGAGCGUCAUUACGCCCCUCAAGUCCCCUGUGGACUUGGUGUUGGGGAUCGGCGAGGCUGGUUUUCCAGCACAGCCGUCCCUUAAAUUAAUUGGCGGUCUCGCCGUGGCCCUCCUCUGCGCAGUAGUAAAACACUCGCAACAGGAGCCCGGCGCGGUCCACUGCCGUAAAACCCCCGACCCCCAUGAGUUUGACCUCGGAUCAGGUAGGAAUACCCGCUGAACUUAAGCAUAUCAAUAAGCGGAGGA
rnacentral:misc_RNA from 1 species